GAGGAGUGUGGGUGGUUGCGGUGUUCUCCGUACUGCAGUCUGUGAAACAACAGUGCGGCCAUGGCAGAACCACAGCCCGCAUCCAGCGGCCUCACCGACGAGGCUGCCCUCGGUUGCUGCUCCGACCUGGAUCCCAGCACUAAGGAUUUUCUGUUGCAGCAGACCAUGCUACGAAUUAAGGAUCCUAAGAAGUCAUUGGAUUUUUAUACUAGAGUUCUUGGAAUGACGCUACUCCAAAAAUUAGAUUUUCCCACUAUGAAAUUCUCACUGUAUUUCUUGGCUUAUGAGGAAAAAAAUGACAUCCCAAAAGAUAAAGAUGAAAAAGUAGCAUGGGUAUUCCCCAGAAAGCUACCCUUGAACUGACACACAAUUGGGGCAUGGAAGAUGAUGAGACCCAGAGUUACCACAGUGGCAACUCAGACCCUCGAGGAUUUGGUCACAUUGGAAUCGCUGUUCCUGAUGUACAUGGUGCUUGUAAAAGAUCUGAAGAGCUGGGAGUCAAAUUUGUGAAGAAACCUGACGAUGGUAAAACGAAAGGCCUGGCAUUUAUCCAAGAUCCCGAUGGCUACUGGAUUGAAAUUCUGAAUCCUAACAAAAUGACAACUAUUAUUUAG